ACGGGAGGCAGCAGUGGGGAAUAUUGCAUAAUGGGCGAAAGCCUGAUGCAGCGACGCCGCGUGAGUGAGGAAGUAUCUCGGUAUGUAAAGCUCUAUCAGCAGGGAAGAAAAUGACGGUACCUGACUAAGAAGCCCCGGCUAACUACGUGCCAGCAGCCGCGGUAAUACGUAUGGUGCAAGCGUUAUCCGGAUUUACUGGGUGUAAAGGGUGCGUAGGUGGCAUGGCAAGUCUGAAGUGAAAUGCGGGGGCUCAACCCCUGAACUGCUUUGGAAACUGUCAAGCUUGAGUACAGGAGAGGAAAGCGGAAUUCCUAGUGUAGCGGUGAAAUGCGUAGAUAUUAGGAGGAACACCAGUGGCGAAGGCGGCUUUCUGGACUGUAACUGACAUUGAGGCACGAAAGCGUGGGGAGCAAACAGGAUUAGAUACCCUGGUA
rnacentral:rRNA from 1 species